ACUCUCUCGCCGUCGCUAGCUAAACUCCAACACCUCGAUGGGAUUUACUUCACUGAUCUCAAGAACAUCACUGGUUCUUUUCCUCAAUUCCUUUUCCAAUUACCAAAUCUUAAAUACGUUUACAUUGAGAAUAACCGCCUCUCCGGUCCUCUUCCGGUUAACAUCGGUUCUCUAAGCCAGCUUGAAGCGUUCAGUCUCCAGGGAAACCGGUUUACCGGUCCAAUCCCAAGCUCGAUAUCUAAUUUGACUCGGUUAACACAACUCAAACUCGGUAGUAAUCUCCUAACCGGCACUAUUCCCUUAGGAAUUGCUAAUCUCAAGCUCAUGUCGUAUCUCAACCUUGGAGGUAACCGUCUCUCUGGCACUAUCCCGGACAUUUUCAAAUCCAUGCCGGAACUUCGAUCAUUAACUCUCUCCCACAACGGAUUCUCCGGGAAUCUUCCUCCGUCCAUUGCAUCACUCGCACCGAUUCUCAGGUUCCUCGAGUUAGGCCAUAACAAUCUCUCCGGGACAAUACCGAACUUCUUAUCAAACUUCAAGGCGCUUGACACAUUGGAUCUCUCUAAGAAUCGGUUCUCAGGAGUCUUGCCAAAGAGUUUCGCAAAUCUGACCAAAAUCUUCAAUCUCAAUCUCGCUCACAAUCUUCUAACCGAUCCAUUCCCUGUCUUGAACGUUAAAGGGAUAGAAUCUUUGGAUCUCUCGUACAACCAAUUUCACUUGAACACAAUUCCUAAAUGGGUGACUUCGUCGCCGAUCAUCUACUCGUUGAAGCUAGCAAAAUGCGGGAUCAAGAUGAGUUUAGACGAUUGGAAGCCAGCACAAACAUACUACUACGAUUUCAUCGAUUUGUCGGAAAACGAGAUCUCAGGGAGUCCAGCAAGGUUCUUGAACCAAACAGAGUUUCUAGUGGAGUUCAAGGCGUCGGGGAACAAACUCCGAUUCGAUAUGGGGAAGCUAACGUUCGCAAAGACGCUGAAGACCUUAGAUCUAUCUAGAAACUUGGUAUUCGGGAAGGUGCCAGCGACAGUGGCCGGGCUAAAGACAUUGAACGUGAGUCAAAACCAUCUUUGUGGAAAGCUUCCGGUGACAAAGUUCCCGGGCAGCGCCUUUGCUGGUAACGACUGUCUUUGCGGCUCUCCACUUCCUCCUUGUAAAGCUUAAGCGGCAAGAAAACUACAAUUAUAAGUUAGCUCCAAAUAAAAUUUGUAUUAAAUAACAAAUAAAGUAGUUUUAUGAUAUGAAGAGGCAUAUGUAUUAGACUAUUAGUGAAGGUACUCAAAGUAGUAUUUAAGUUUUCAACACUUUUGCAUUGUUUUAUUUAGCGACUUCUGUACUUUUCAACUUUUGCAUUGUUUUAUUUAGCGACUUCUGUUGGCACAAAAAUGAGGAACUGAAAUGAAUUGUAGAAUCAUUAAAAAAAAAAUUGCUAUUAAUUAAAUAAUGGGCUCUAAAAUACCAUGGUUUUUGUUUUUAAGCAUGUAACUUCAUCACUACAAAAUUUAUUUGAUCACAUAUACAAGCACACAUAAAGCUUACAAAACAAUACAAACCAAGUGAUCGAUUUACAUCAUGAAACCUCCCUCUUUCUCUUUACACACACAUAAGGUCAUUCCCAGGACAUAUAUCAUCUGCAUUGCGGCCUGAGACCAUCUCUGAAGUAGCUUUUCUCUUGGUAUAUUUUGUCUACGACACUAGCAUUCGACUAAUCUAUCGAUCCACAUUCAAUUAACGAAACAAGGACAUACUAAACUAACCUAGAAAAAUUAUUCAAAAACUAUAAAACAAAGAGAUUCGAAGAGAGGCAGCAUCUUAAACUUCACCACCAUAUAUAAAACGAAAACAGAAACUAAUAUAUUGGUUCUUCUAAAACAAUAUAAAUAGAUAAAGCUAAUAAUGUAAGAUUACGCUAAGAGAAUAAAGGCAUAUAUCUAUCAACCCAUCUUGAGGCCAACUUCGUUCACAAUCUGGAUCAUUGUACUUAGAUAUCUUUGACUUUUAAUUUGUGGUCAAUAACGUACAAAUUGUUAGACAAAAAUAACAUGUUAAUAGAUGUAUAAAAAAAAGUUUUACAAAAAUACCGGACAUUUUGUUAAACAAAAAUGAAACUAAGUUUCAUAAUGCACUAAAAUAUUAUUUAAACAUGAUAGAAAACAAACAAAAAUACAUGAUAGAAAAAAUAAGUAUUUGACUUAUGACCUUCCAAUACUAUUUAAAAACAAAAUUCUAAAACAAAAAAAAGAUACAUUACACCUUUUUAUAUAAUAAUCUCCAAAUUAAAUGAACCUUGUCUGGGAUCAUGAAGAUGAACCUUGUCUCUAGGAUCAUGAAGAUAUAUCUUGAUGAGUGCAAUAUGAUCGUGAAAUGAACCUUAUGUAUGUCUAAGAGCAAGAUAACGCGGCAUGAGAUACCUAAAGCAUAUACCACUUAGAGCAGGAUUAUAGGAGGUAUCUUAGACAUAUCUUAGGGGAAAAAAUUAUUAAAUUUAAUGAAUAGUUCAAUCAAAUGCUAAGAUGUAUAUCUUAUUUAAGAUGUUGUUGAUGAGUUUUAGAUAUGAGCACGUGUCUUGCUCUGAUUAAUUUGAAGAAACAACAAAGCCAAAAAAAAAAACCUUUCGUUUUUUUAUUUCCCUCUCGACCUUUCUCUCUCUCUCUUUUCCUCGAAACCAAAACGGCGAAAUCCUGCUCUGAGGCUGUUGAUCCGACGAAUUGAGAGGAGAAAUGAGAUGGAAUUGCGUGUUUCAUAUAAAUUAUAUUUCAUGUAUGUUUUAAUUUUUUUUAAUUUGCAACAAUUAUUAAAUUUUCUAUAAUUAUAAAUUUUAUUUUUGUAUUAAUUUUUUUUUUCUAAGAACCACAUGUUAAGAACCUACCAUUAAUCACACAAAAAUCUUAACCCAAAAAUACUACUCCCUCCGUAUUUGAAUAAAUGUCGUUCUAGCCUUUUUUCUGUGUUUUUAAUUAGUUGUCAUUUUAACAACUUUUGCAUAAAAUUUCCUAAAUUACCCCCAAUUAAUUGAUCAUAAUUAAUCAGUCUAAAUUACCAAAAUUACAGAUACCAAAAAUAUAAUUGUAAAUAAUCGUUUCUCAUAAGGUUAGUUUUGUAAUUCUGUGCCUUUUCUUAAUUCACCUAAAAACAGUUGAAACGACAUUUUUUCAAAUACAGAGGGAGUAUAUCUUAACUAUCACUUUUACAAAUAUAUUACUUAAAUAUUCUUAAGAUUUAUUUCUAAGAUACUACCAAUAAUCAUGCUCUUAUUGCCCACAUGCAAAUGGAUCGGUCAAAAUCGUUGACUUUGACUUUACAGCUCUCUCAACUCUCAAGUCGUCUCUCUCCCUUUACUAAUAGCUGCCAAUAGCUUCUCUCAAUCUCACCGCACAAUAACACCAUGACUUCUUGCUCCUUCACUCUCUUCAUCUUUGCGGUCAUUAUCUUUCUUCAGUCUUUAAGUUCAACGGGAGCUACCACGUGUCAUCCUGAUGAUGAGGCGGGUCUUUUAGCUUUCAAAUCGGGUAUAACUCAAGAUCCUUCGGGAAUGCUCAGCUCUUGGACGAAAAAUACUUCUUGCUGCUCGUGGAAAGGUAUCACUUGCCUCAACAGCGACCGUGUCACCAACCUCGACCUAGUGGGAUUUUUAAAAAAACCCGAACGCUCCCUUUCCGGUACUCUCUCACCGUCGCUGGCCAAACUUCAGCACCUCAACGUGGUUAGCUUAGGAGAUCAUGGGAACAUCACUGGAUCUUUUCCAAAGUUCCUUCUCAAAUUACCAAAGCUAAGGUACGUUGACAUCCAGAAUAACCGUCUCUCCGGUCCACUUCCGACCAACAUCGGCGUGCUAAACACGUUAGAACAAUUCUUUCUUCAGGGAAAUAAGUUCACCGGUCCGAUCCCGAAUUCGAUAUCAAAUCUAACUCGGUUAUCUUAUCUCAUUUUCGGAGGUAAUCUCUUAACCGGAACUAUACCCUUAGGACUUGCUAAUCUCAAGCUCAUGCAGCAUCUGGCACUCGGCGACAACCGCCUCUCAGGCACCGUCCCAGAAAUUUUCGAAUCAAUGACGUUGCUCAAAUUUCUAGAUCUCUCCCGCAAUGGAUUCUCUGGAAAACUUCCUCUGUCCAUUGCGUCACUCGCACCGACACUCCUAGCCCUCAAGCUGAGCCAGAACAAUCUCUCGGGGGCGAUCCCGGACUAUAUAUCAAGAUUCAACAGGCUCGAAAAGUUGGAUCUCUCCAAGAACCGGUUCUCCGGGGUUGUACCGAAGGGUUUCGUCAAUCUGACCAAUAUUAACAAUCUUGAUCUCUCCCACAAUCUUCUAACUAAUCAAUUCCCUGAAUUGAACGUUAACACCAUCGAAUAUCUUGAUCUCUCGUACAACCAAUUUCAGCUGGAAACGAUUCCACAAUGGGUGACAUCGUUGCCGAGUCUCUUCUUGUUGAAGCUAGCAAAAUGCGGGAUCAAGAUGAGCUUAGAUGAUUGGAAGCCAGCGGAACCCUUGUACUACCAUUACAUCGAUCUAUCGAAAAACGAGAUCUCAGGGAGUCUAGAAAGGUUCUUGAACCAGACAUGGUAUCUGCUGGAGUUUCGGGCGGCGGGGAACAAACUCCAAUUCGAUAUGGGGAACUUGAAGUUUGCAAGGACGCUAAAAACCCUGGAUCUUUCAAGGAACUUGGUAUUCGGGAUGGUGCCGGCGAUGGUAGCUGGUCUGCAGAGACUAAACUUGAGUCAAAACCAUCUUUGCGGAAAGCUUCCAGCUACAAAGUUCCCGGCCAGUGCGUUUGCCGAUAACCACUGUCUUUGCGGCUCUCCACUUUCUCCUUGUAAACUUUAGCGCCAAGAAAACUAUAAUUGGUAUUUGAAUUUAUCGCGACAGUUAACUCCAAAUAAGAUUAUAAAGUAAUUUUAAGAGACUAAGCUCCAUUGCAACGAAAUAUUAUGAAAUAUAAGUUUUUAACACUUCAAUAUUAUUUUAUUUUAUUUAGCAACUUUAUAAAUAAACUCGAAUUGUUGGUUAAAAAUGACAAAUUGAAUUAAACUAGUAGAAUCAUUAAGAAAUCGUAGAAGAGCAGGUUUUUUUUGUCACUAAUGUAAUGUAACCGGUAGAAUAAUUGAAAUGAAUUUUUAUUUAGCGUGUGUUGGCUUGAGGAUAUGUACUGCAAAACAGAUUCAAUCUUUAUAGAUUAUUCGAAUGAUUUGAUUGUUCUUCAAGACUUUGAGAAUCACUAUUUUUUCUCUUACUACACUUUCACCGGAUUCACAUCCUCACCAAUCUCCAAUCAAAGCUUGGUCAAUGCUUGCUAAGAGAAAUUUUUAGAGAAAAUAAAUCAUAGGAAACAAAUCGACAAUAGCAUUAUAGAGAUUUCUGUGAUUCUCACUUAUGAAAAUUAAUAAUGUCUUAAAUUUCCCAACUUCCAUAAUACCAAUAAGAAAACCUUUUCAAGACUCUUGUAACAACCUCAGCACAAAUCUUUUUACUUGUGUUCUACGCAACAACCAUUGACUUUUAGAGAUGUCUUAAAUCGUUCAACUUCAACAAGAAUGAAAAUCAUCGCGUUCUUUCGGUAUAAUAUACACAAAUAUUACAGAAAUAGAAAGAGUGUUCAAGCCAGUCGUAGGAAUAAUAAAUUCGACCACAAUUAUAAUUCCACUAAUUACGGAUGCUCCACAUGCAAAUGGAUCAGUCACAAUCAUCAACUUUCUUUUAUUAAACUAAUAAAUUAAAAAGUGUUACUAGAAACUUUGACUUUGAAGCUCUCAAGUCGUCUCUCUCCCUCUGUUAAUAGCUACCAAAUACUUCUCUUACUCCCACCACCCACCACACAACACCACCAUGAACUCUUGCUCAUUCACUUUAUUCAUCUUAGGUGCUAUUAUCUUUCUCCGGUGUUUAUGUUUCACCGGAGCUGCCACGUGCCAUCCUGAUGACGAGGCGGGUCUUUUAGGUUUCAAAUCGAGUAUAACCAAAGAUCCUUCAGACAUUCUCAGCUCCUGGAAGAAAGGUACUAACUGCUGCUUCUGGAGAGGUAUCAUUUGCUUCCCCCGAGACCGUGUCACACAACUAAAUGUAAACGGAGAUGUAUAUCUUGGCCUAACCUUUCUCUCCGGCACUAUCUCGCCGAUGCUGGCCAAACUUCAACACCUCGAGGGAAUUUACCUCACCUCUCUUCGAAAGAUCGCUGGACCUUUUCCUCAAUUCCUUUUCCGAUUACCAAAGCUAAAGUACGUUAGCAUCCAAGGUAACCUUCUCUCCGGUCCCCUUCCAGCCAAUAUUGGCGAGCUAAGUCAAUUGAAAACUUUAGUUAUUGAAGGAAACCUGUUCACCGGUCAGAUUCCAAGUUCGAUAUCCAAUUUGACUCGGUUAUCUUUGCUUAGUCUUGGCAACAACCGCCUCUCUGGCGCAAUCCCAAAUAUAUUUAAAUCCAUGAAAGAGCUCCAUUAUAUUCUCUUGAUCUCUCCCGCAACAGAUUCUUCGGGAAACUUCCUCCGUCCAUUGCAUCGCUGGCACCGACUCUCACCUACCUCGAUCUGAGCCAGAACAAUCUCUCGGGAACGAUCCCAGAAUAUUUAUCAAGAUUCAAGGCGCUCUCCACAUUGGUUCUCUCCAAGAAUCAGUACUCGGGGGUCGUGCCGAUGAGUUUCGCCAAUUAGACCAAACUUAUUCAUCUUGAUCUCUCCCAAAAUCUUCUAGCCGGUCCAUUACCUGUCUUGAAGAGCAUUGCCGUCAUCGAAUCUCUGGAUUUGUCGUACAACAAGUUUCACCUGAAAACGAUUCCAAAAUAGAUGACAUCGUCACCAUUCAUCUACUCGUUGAAGCUGGCAAAAUGUGGGAUCAAGAUAAGCUUAGACGAUUGGAAGCUAGCAGGAACCUAUCACUGUAUAUGAAGCAAAUGCAGAAUCUUGGAGUAUAAGUAACAAGGAAGAAGAAAGUUACCAGAAUAUACUUAUUCUGUUAACAGAGAAAACAGAGUAUUAACAGGGUUAAUGACUCAUUGUACAGCUAACUCUUAGCUAAUCUUAUCUCUUACUAUAUAAACAAUUGUACAGCAACAAUAAUCUUUAAUGAGAAAUUAGAUUGUUUUACUUCUCUAAUAUGGUAUCAGAGCAAUAAAUAUCUCAUUCAAAAGUUUGUUUUCCGGGAAACUUGAGAUUUUCCGGGAAAAUUCCUGAUUUCUUCUUGAAGAUUCCACUUCAGCUUGUUGUGUUCAUCUUUCUGAUCGCCGAUCGUUGUAUCAAUGGCGAAGAAAGGAGCCAAGCAGCUCAGGAAUCGUUCAACAUCUCAGGAUUCUGGUGAAGAUUCACCGAUUAUUCAUCCUUCCGCUUCAGCUCUCGACAGAUCUUCUCCAGCUCGUACCUCCGUGAAUCGUCUACCGGUGGAUUCAGAUUCGAUUGAUAGUCACCACAAUCCAUUCUAUCUUCACUCCAGUGAUCAUCCUGGUUUGUCAAUCGUAUCUGAAGUUCUCACUGGAGAUAACUAUAACUCAUGGAUCAUUGCUAUGCGCACUAGUCUAGAAGCUAAGAAUAAGAUCAGCUUUGUUGAUGGAUCUAUCCCUAGACCUCUUGAAUCUGAUCGUCUUUACAAAAUCUGGACUCGUUGCAACAGUAUGGUAAAAGCUUGGAUUCUUAAUGUCGUGUCAAAGCAAAUCUAUGCUAGUGUUUUAUACAUUCAGGAUGCUGCUGGUAUUUGGAAUGAUCUUUACAGGCGUUUUCACAAGAGCAACCUUCCUCAGAUCUAUAAUUUGGAGCAGGAGAUCAGUUCUCUACGUCAAGGUACUAUGUCUCUCUCUGAUUACUACACUAAGAAGGUUACUCUCUGGGAACAGUUGGCCUGCACUAAGAAUCUGAUGGAAAAUGGUGGUUGUCGAUGCUCACAAGUGAUGAAGUUGUUAGAUGAUCAUGAGACAACAAGGAUUACUCAGUUUCUUAUGGGUCUCAAUGAUGAUUUUGCUAACAUCAGGGGACAAAUACUGAACAUGAAACCACGUCCAAGUCUCUCUGAUAUGUAUAACAUGCUUGAGUCUGAUGAGUCUCAGAGACAACGUUCCAUUCCCAAUCCUAAUCCUUCAGCUUUCCAGGUUAAAACUCAACUAAAUAACUUUCAGAAAUCUCAUGUUGUAUGCACACAUUGUGGAUUGUCUGGUCACAUUAGUGACAAGUGUUACAAGAUCAUCGGUUAUCCACCGGGAUGGAAACCAAAGAAUCAACGUCAAAAUCCUAACCAACGUUUUAUCACUCCUGCUGCGAAUCUUGCUCUUGUUGAUCCUACAUCUGAAUGUGAAAACGAGAAAACUUUGUCUCAAGAACAGCUUCAGUACUUGGUUGCUUUCUUGAACUCUAAGCUGCAGCCGUCUAGUUCUUCUCACAGUGCUAGUCCUAUCUCAUCUGCAACCAUCACUGAACUACCUAGUACUUCUGAGGCUUCUUCUUCUGCAUUUUCUCCUAUGGCAUGUCAGAUGACUGGUACACAAUUUCCUUCUAUAUUUUGUUCUUCAGAAGAGAAUCAAUCUUAUUUCUACUCUCUGUCUGAUAAAUUGGUCAACAUGAAUAAGUGGGUUAUUGAUACUGGUGCUACUCACCAUGUUACUUAUGACAAGAGCCUUUUUCAACAAAUGACUGUUAUACAAGACACUACUGUGCAGCUUGCUAAUGGUGUAGGUGUGAAAAUUCAGGGUUUGGGAACUAUUAAACUCAAUGACAGACUCAUUCUUCAUGAUGUUCUGUUUAUACCUCAAUUUAAAUUUCAUUUAUUGAGUGUGAGUUCCUUGACGUCUCAGAUAAAGUGUGGUCUAUGGUUUGACUCUUAUGGUUGUGAAAUUCAGGAUCUUACAAGGGAAUUGACAAUUGGAAGAGGUAAACUUCACAAUAAGCUAUAUUUCUUGGACCUGUAGUUUCAGCCUGAAGAGAAAGCUUCACCAACUAUCUGUGUUUCAGUCAAGAUUGAUGCUCACACUUGGCAUCAACGCUUGGGUCAUCCGUCUCUACAACGUCUUAAAUCUAUGUCAAAUUCAUUGUCUGUUUCUUUUCCUAAGGAGUUAACUCCAGAACAGAACCAUUGCAGAGUUUGUCAUUUAGCAAAGCAGAAACAUUUGCCUUUUGUAGCUCGGAAUAAUAAGACUUCUAAUGCGUUUGAUUUGAUCCAUAUUGACACUUGGGGUCCCUUUGCAGUGCCUUCUUAUGAUGGAUACAAAUAUUUUCUGACGAUAGUUGAUGAUCAUUCUCGUGCUACUUGGAUAUUUUUACUCAGAAAUAAAUCAGAAGCUAUAACAGUCUUACCUGGUUUUGUUGCUAUGAUUGAAACUCAAUUUGCUACCAAAGUUAGAGCCGUCAGGUCAGAUAAUGCUCCUGAGUUUAACUUCACCAAGUUUUACAGAGAAAAAGGAAUUGUCUCCUAUCAUUCAUGUCCAGAGACUCCUCAGCAAAACUCAGUGGUAGAAAGGAAACACCAACAUCUUUUAAACGUGGCCAGAUCCCUCAUGUUUCAGUCACAGGUACCUAUUGAGUAUUGGAGUGAGUGCAUUAUGACUGCAGUUUUUCUUAUCAACAGGUUACCUACAGAGAAUUUGGAGAAUAAGUCUCCUUAUGAGAUCUUAAUGAAGGUAGCACCAGAAUAUGAUGAUCUUAAGGUUUUUGGAUGUUUGGCUUAUGCUUCCACUUCACCACAUCAGAGAAAUAAAUUUCAGCCAAGGGCAAGGGCAUGUGUAUUUUUGGGUUAUCCUACUGGUGUCAAAGGAUAUAAGCUACUUGAUAUUGAAACACAUGAUAUCUUGAUUUCAAGACAUGUGGUUUUUCAUGAGGACUUGUUUCCUUUAGCAAAUGGAGAUAUGAAUCAGCAAAUUCAGGAUUUGUUUCCUACAGUGUCUGAUAUAAUUGGUGAUUUAGCAGUAGGAGAUUCUGCUAUCCCAGUUCAGUCACAACAGGAUUCAGUGCAUCUUGGUAGUGGCAAGUCUGCAGUAGGAGAUUCUGCGUCUGUCACACAUUUACCAGUGCCAAAUCCAGAGAAUGCAGUUGUUGUUGAAGAUUCAACACCUGUUAAUGCUGAAGUCUCCGAUAAUACUCUUGAUGAUAUCAUUGAUACUUCAAGAACAUCAAAAAGGCCUACUUACUUGGAGGACUAUUAUUGUUACUAUGUCAACAAAGAAGUUGUUCAUCCUCUUUGUCAGAUUUUAACCUAUGAAAGACUUUCUGGUCCUUACCAUUUCUUCUUGACUGCUAUUACAAAGGAGUUUGAACCUACUACCUAUACUGAAGCUAAAAAGCAUCUUGUUUGGACAAAUGCUAUGGGAGAGGAAAUAACAGCUUUAGAAAAUACCAAUACUUGGUCUAUAUGUUCUCUUCCUGCAGGCAAGCAUAUUAUUGGUUGCAAGUGGGUAUACAAGGUGAAAUACAACUCUGAUGGCACUCUUGAAAGACACAAGGCCAGAUUGGUGGCAAAAGGUUAUACUCAAAAGGAAGGUCUUGAUUAUGUUGAUACUUAUUCUCCAGUGGCUAAAUUGACUUCUGUUAAGAUGCUUUUGGCUACUGCAGCAAAAUUGAAAUGGUCACUAUCCCAGUUGGAUAUAUCCAAUGCGUUUCUAAAUGGCGAUUUGAAUGAGGAGAUAUAUAUGCAGCUUCCACCUGGAUACUCUAGACAAGGAGACUCUCUACCUGAGAAUGCAGUUUGUCGAUUAAACAAAUCACUAUAUGGCUUAAAACAAGCAUCACGGCAGUGGUAUCUCAAGUUUGCAGAGACUCUGGAGAAUCUUGGCUUUCAAACUAAUCAUUCAGAUCAUACAUUGUUCACAAAGGUCAGAGACUCAAUAAUACUCAUUGUCUUGGUUUAUGUGGAUGAUAUAAUUGUUUCAAGUAAUAAUGACGAGGCUGCAGAUAAUCUCAAGUCACAAUUGAAAUCUCACUUCAAGUUGAGAGAUUUAGGUCCUGCUCAAUAUUUUCUUGGAUUGGAAAUAGCAAGAUCUGAAGCUGGAAUCUCAGUGUGUCAACGUAAAUAUGCUUUGGAACUACUGGAUUCUGCAGGAUUAUUGGCUUGUAAGCCAUCUUCAAUUCCUAUGGAACCUAAUCAGAAGAUGUCUGCAGAUGAUGGUGAAUUAUAUGCUAAUCCAGAGAGCUAUCGUAGCAUUGUUGGGAAGCUCAUUUAUUUGACUAUUACCCGUCCAGAUAUAUGUUUUGCAGUGGGAAAAUUGGCUCAAUACACUAGUGCACCCAGAGUUCCUCAUUUUAAAGCAGUUUUGAAACUUCUGGCUUACAUUAAAGGGACUAUUGGUCAAGGUCUUUUUUAUUCUUCUGAUCCUAACAUGGAAUUAAAGGCCUUUGCUGAUGCUGAUCUUAGUGGUUGUCCGGAUUCAAGAAGAUCUGUCUCAGGUUAUUGUGUGUUUCUUGGUGACUCUCUUAUUUCAUGGAAAUCUAAGAAACAAGAGAUUGUGUCACGGUCUUCUGUUGAGUCAGAAUACAGAGCAAUGGCUUUGGCGGUUUGCGAAAUUGUUUGGAUUAGAAGCUUGAUGACAGACUUAUACAUACCUCCUACUUCUCCGACUGUUCUUUACUGUGAUAAUGAAGCCGCUAUACACAUUGGUACCAAUCCUGUGUUUCAUGAACGUACAAAACACGUGGAGCGUGAUUGUCAUACAGUAAGAGACAGAGUCAAGGAAGGAACAGUUAUACUGGCUCAUGUACGGACUGAUUUGCAGGUUGCAGACAUUUUGACUAAAGCGAUAUAUCCUGGACAGUUCCGGUAUCUUGUUGGUAAGCUUGGCAUCUCGAAUCUCUUUCUGCCAGCUUAAGGGGGGCUAUCAGUGUAUAUGAAGCAAAUGCAGAAUCUUGGAGUAUAAGUAACAAGGAAGAAGAAAGUUACCAGAAUAUACUUAUUCUGUUAACAGAGAAAACAGAGUAUUAACAGGGUUAAUGACUCAUUGUACAGCUAACUCUUAGCUAAUCUUAUCUCUUACUAUAUAAACAAUUGUACAGCAACAAUAAUCUUUAAUGAGAAAUUAGAUUGUUUUACUUCUCUAAUAGAACCUACUACUACGUUUCCAUCGAUCUGUCUGAAAACGAGAUCUCAGGGAGUCCGGUUAGGUUCCUCAACCAGAUGAAGUAUCUGAUGGAGUUCCGAGCCGCAGGAAACAAACUCCGGUUCGAUUUGGGGAAGCUGACGUUUGUGGAGACGCUUGGAAUCUUGGAUUUGUCAAGGAACUUGAUAUUCGGGAAGGUGCCCGCGACGGUGGCCGGACUGAGGACAUUAAACGUGAGUCAAAACCAGCUUUGCGGAAAGCUUCCAGCUACAAAGUUCCCGGCCAGUACGUUUGCCGGUAACGACUGUCUCUGUAGAUCUCCACUUUCUCCUUGUAAAGUUUAGCGGCUAAAAAAAAAGCUAUAAUUGGUAUUUGGAUAAUUGGAUUUAAUGUGACGCUUGGAUUCAAAACGAUUUGUAUACAGAACAUAACAAAUUACACUUGGUUCC
rnacentral:lncRNA from 1 species